rnacentral:rRNA from 1 species
AUUGAACGCUGGCGGCAUGCCUUACACAUGCAAGUCGAACGGUAACGGGCCUUCGGGUGCCGACGAGUGGCGAACGGGUGAGUAAUGUAUCGGAACGUACCUUUCAGUGGGGGAUAACGUAGCGAAAGUUACGCUAAUACCGCAUAUUCUGUGAGCAGGAAAGCAGGGGAUCGCAAGACCUUGCGCUGAUUGAGCGGCCGAUAUCAGAUUAGCUAGUUGGUGAGGUAAAGGCUCACCAAGGCGACGAUCUGUAGCGGGUCUGAGAGGAUGAUCCGCCACACUGGAACUGAGACACGGUCCAGACUCCUACGGGAGGCAGCAGUGGGGAAUUUUGGACAAUGGGCGCAAGCCUGAUCCAGCCAUUCCGCGUGCAGGAUGAAGGCCUUCGGUUGGUUAAACUAGCUUUUGUUACGGUAACGGAAACGGUACGUCGCCUAACUAACGGCGGGCGUAACUGACGGUACCGGUAACGAAUAAGACACCGGCUAACUACGUAGCCAGCAGCCGCGGUAAACG